rnacentral:rRNA from 1 species
GAGACCGAUAGCGAACAAGUAGAGUGAUCGAAAGGUUAAAAGCACCUUGAAAAGGGAGUUAAACAGCACGUGAAAUUGUUGAAAGGGAAGCGCUUGCGGCCAGACUCGGGGGCGGGGUUCAGCGGGUGCUCGUCGCCCGUGUACUCCUCGUCUCCCGGGCCAGCAUCAGUUUCGACGGCCGGUCAAAGGCCCCCGGAAUGUGUCGUCUCUCGGGACGUCUUAUAGCCGGGGGUGCAAUGCGGCCCGUCGGGACUGAGGAACGCGCUCCGGCUCGGAUGCUGGCGUAAUGGCCGUAAGCGGCCCGUCUUGAAACACGGACC